rnacentral:misc_RNA from 1 species
UGUCUGCCCUUGGGCUCCCUGCUUYGUGCAGCGAACCUUGUGCCCACGCUCCUCUUCAUUGAUGUCCGAGCAAGCUCAUUGCUUCCUCGGCGAGUAGGCGGUUCCCGUGUUGUUUACCCGGCAAAAAAAGUGGCAAACGCUAUCUUCGGUGGAAGAGUUUGCUUCAAACCGACCAAGUCGGCGCGGAGCAACUCGACCGUGGGUCUUGUGAAGCCAGCACUCAGCGGUCUCGCUGGGAGCAUGGUUAACGAUUCUCCACGUGCUUUGGGAUGCRGUGAGCAUGGUUGCGUCCGGGUUUUCCUACCCGGCCAAAGCAUUAUUUGCCGAAUAAGAUAGACGGCCGCGCCCACGUCGUCCGCUCCUUGGCUCGCCCAACGGAACGGCGGGGAUGGUGGCGGUGUCGCAAAGGAAUGYUAC